GAUGAACGCUGGCGGCGUGCCUAAUACAUGCAAGUCGAGCGAACAGAUGAGGAGCUUGCUCCUCUGACGUUAGCGGCGGACGGGUGAGUAACACGUGGAUAACCUACCUAUAAGACUGGGAUAACUUCGGGAAACCGGAGCUAAUACCGGAUAAUAUAUUGAACCGCAUGGUUCAAUAGUGAAAGACGGUUUUGCUGUCACUUAUAGAUGGAUCCGCGCCGCAUUAGCUAGUUGGUAAGGUAACGGCUUACCAAGGCAACGAUGCGUGGCCGACCUGAGAGGGUGAUCGGCCACACUGGAACUGAGACACGGUCCAGACUCCUACGGGAGGCAGCAGUAGGGAAUCUUCCGCAAUGGGCGAAAGCCUGACGGAGCAACGCCGCGUGAGUGAUGAAGGUCUUCGGAUCGUAAAACUCUGUUAUUAGGGAAGAACAAAUGUGUAAGUAGCUAUGCACGUCUUGACGGUACCUAAUCAGAAAGCCACGGCUAACUACGUG
rnacentral:rRNA from 1 species